ACUUGAGUAUCUUUAAAAAAAAGUUUAACUCUGAAGAAGUUAACAUAGGUUUUACCUCUCAAGUA
rnacentral:tRNA from 1 species